CCACAUUUUGAGCUAAACUUCUUUGAGUUGAAUUUAUAUGAACAUAUUGAUUUGUUAUUUAAAUUUCAAACGGUUUUCAAAUUAAAAUGUAAAUGCAAUGGAACAAACAGCUUCACCAAACAUUUGUGUUAUAAUGGCUGAAGGCUUUAUGCCAGCUCAUUGUAUACUGACUGUAUCCCACUUUAGUUUAUAGUAAAAUACCAAAUGUAUAUUUUCAUUAACGCAUCUCUGACAAAGAUCCUGAAAUCAAAUUCAAGAAUUUAAGUUCAAAUUUUUUUUCAAAGAAGCCUAGUUUUAGGACGUUGGAUGCAUUUCUUAUAUUUGUUAAAUCAAGACCUAAGAAUGAGAGGGAAAUUGCCAAGAAAAUUUUAGAAAAGCAUAGAAAGCCGGUCAUUUUCAUCAUUGCAAACACUGAUGAAGGCAAAGAUGACGAAAAAACUGUUUUGGAUAGAAAAAAAGCCUUAAAGAUUUGGUAAAGGAUGAGUCAGGUAUUUACGUAAUUGACAAAGAGGAUACAUCCAAACGCGACUUUGAGAGUCUGCUUGGAGAUAUCAAGUCCAAGUUUUUGAAACGUCGAAAAGAUAUUUCUGCAAUCUUUAAAUGAGGCCGUUUUCUUAAACACCAAGAAAACAAAGGAACUCUUCAAACAAGCUCAGAAACACGGUGUUGAUAAGAUUCUGGAAUUUUACAGCAAGGAUUUAAUUUCAUUGUGGAUAGACACAGAGAUAAAUUUUGCUAUAACAGGAAAUUCUGGAACAGAAAAAUCAUCUUUCAUCAACGCUGUGAGAGGUAUCAAAGCUAGUAAAAAAAAAGCAGCAGCACCAGUUGGUAUUAAAGAAAUGAGAAAGAAACCCACUACGUAUUCACACCCAAAUCAUAAAAACAUCAUUUUCUGGGAUCUAACUGGCAUUGGAACACCUACAUACCCCAAUCUUGAAGAAUAUUGUAAAAAAGUUGUUGGUCUGGAGAAGUACGAUGCAUUUCUCAUUUUUGGCAAAUCGCGAUUCACUCAACAUGAUAAAGAACUGGCUGAGAAUGUUUCAAAAGUGCUCGACAAACCUUUCUUUUUCAUUCGUACCAACGUUGACACCGAACUCAAAAAUGCGAAGGAUGACGAAGGACCAAAGUUUGAUGAAGCAUCUGUCAUAAAACGUAUGAGGAAAAAUUGUUUGAAAAACCUGGAAGGUUUGAUUCCCGAUGAAACGUUACCUGAGGAAAAACAAGAGAGUUUUGUUGCUUCCUUGGACAGGUCUUUACAUGCAAUAAUAAGAAUUAAGGCCAACUUUUUGAGAGCGUGUUUGGUUUUCACGAUCAGUUAAAAUCUGAAGAAAAGUUUGGUGAUGAAAUCAAAGAGUUUUUGAAACAAAAGGCGGUUGACGAGUCACCAGCUAAAGUCCAAUUGGCGUAUGAUUACCUUACAAAACGCAUUGGUGAAUUGAAAGAAACGCUUUAGAUAGAAUAAACAGUAACAAUUCACAACCACGCGAAACUCAAUGAUAGAAUGACCUUCACAUUGCAAAAAAAAAGUGACAGAAACGUAUGCGAACAUACCGUUCCGAAUCUUUUUCAAGCAGAUGUUAACAGAUUUUUAACAGAUAAUGUUAACAGAUUUUUCAUCAAUUUUAGCUUGAUUUUUUUAUGUUUUACCUGAACAGAAACGAACAGCUACGUACUAAAAUAAAAUUGUUCUCUAGAAUUGCACUAUUACUGACAUUUCUACAUUCCCACAUAUUCAAAUUUAUAGUAUUAUGAUUCCUUCUCUCUUUCAACAUAAAUAUACGCUAUAUAAAUAUUCAGUAUUAUAACAAAAAGACUUUAUUGAUAUACCGCAGUAGCUACAUAUUUUCACUCAUUAUAUUUCGUAUACCAACUCGAAGUAAGCACCGCAUGAUGUAUUAGCAAAUAUACUGUGUAUAGUUUUUCAAUAUAUUAAUUCUAAAACUG